GAGCUGGAAUGUUUGUUAGAGAUGCCAAGGCUCUUUGUCCUCACUUAUUGAAAGCAACAGACUUGGCACAGAUGGGCUUCGACAGAGGUGAUGGGAUUCACUGCAAUAGAAAGAUAAAAAAUGACAAUGAUGAGAUACGGGGGCCACAUACUUCUCUGAUUUCUUUGAGUUUCAAUACAUGGUAUGUGUUUGAACUUUGAGGUCCUCAUUUUUGGAGACGACAAUAGCUGUCAAAAACUGAGUUUGCUUUAUUUUUAAUUGAAAUGAAAUCAGUUUUUGGUUUU